rnacentral:ncRNA from 1 species
CCCGCUGAGUUUAAGCAUAUCACUAAGCGGAGGAAAAGAAACUAACAAGGAUUUCCCUAGUAGCGGCGAGCGAAACGGAAAGAGCCCAGCUUGGAAAUCGGGGUGUCUCUGCACCCCGAAUUGUAGUCUGGAGAAGGGUCCUCUGCAGCGGACCGGGUUUAAGUCCCUUGGAACGGGACGCCAGAGAGGGUGAGAGCCCCGUCUAGCCCGGACCCUGCUGCAUCACGAGGCUCUUUCGGCGAGUCGGGCUGUUUGGGAAUGCAGCCUUAAGUGGGUGGUAAAUUCCAUCCAAGGCUAAAUACUGGUGAGAGACCAAUAGCGCACAAGUACUGCGAGG